rnacentral:tRNA from 1 species
CAUUAAGUGGCUGAAAGCAAGCAAUGAUCUCUUAAAUCAAUUUAUAAUAUUUUAGCAAAUAUUCUUAAUGG